AUGCACUUUCUUCCCCGUCUUUCACUCUUCUUCCUCCUCUCUUCCCCAUCGUCGGUCGCACACCAUUUCCCCCUGCUCACUGCUCGCCCGCCCGCGCCAUCUUCCUUGGUUGCUCGCGCGUACCAUAUCCCCCCGCUCACUGCUCGGCCACACACGCCAUCUUCUUCGCUCACCCGCCCGAAUCCACUUCCCCGCUGGCUCGCAGGCACCGAAAACCCUAAAUAUAUAGACCUGGAAUCAUACCAGCCGAUGGGUGGUGGUUUACCGCUCGUUCAGCUGACAACGUACCAUAUAACUCGAAUUAACCGAUGCAACUCCAAGAAGGAUUGGCCGGUGCUGCCGGCUAGCAUCAAGUUCGAUCCCACGGAUCAGGAGCUGAUCGAGCACCUUGAGGCCAAAGUGAGAGCUGACAGCACGAGAUCUCACCCUCUCAUGGAUUUGUUCAUACCAACCAUCGACAGCGAGCACGGCAUAUGCUACACCCAUCCUGAGAAACUCCUAGCGCAAUUCCAGGGCGUUCAAAAGGGGCACGUGGACGCGUCGCAAGAUACGGUCGAAGUGCGGCAUGCACGCGAUGUGGCACAAGACCGGCAAUACCUUGCCGCUGAUGGUCAAUGGUCGGCAGACGGGCAGCAAAAAGGUUCUGGUGCUGCACACCAACAAGAACUUCGACCAUUCCCGCAAAAAAAUAACUUCAACCAGCAGAGGACCAACUGGGUGAUGCACCACUACCACCUUGGGGACCUAGAGCAAGAGAAGGGGCGGGAGCUGGUCCUCUGCAAGAUUUUCUACUAG
rnacentral:rRNA from 1 species